GAUCAACGCUGGCGGCGUGCCUCAGACAUGCAAGUCGAACGAUUAAGACUUCCCUCGGGAGGUGCAUAAAGUGGCGCACGGGUGAGUAACACGUAAGUAAUCUACCCUCGAGUGGGGAAUAACGUUCGGAAACGAACGCUAAUACCGCAUAACGCAGCGGCACCGCAAGGUGACAGUUGUUAAAGGAGCAAUCCGCUUGAGGAGGAGCUUGCGGCAGAUUAGUUAGUUGGUAAGGUAAUGGCUUACCAAGGCUACGAUCUGUAUCCGGUCUAAGAGGACGGUCGGACACACUGACACUGAAUAACGGGUCAGACUCCUACGGGAGGCAGCAGUCGGGAAUUUUGGGCAAUGGGCGAAAGCCUGACCCAGCAACGCCGCGUGAAGGAUGAAGUAUUUCGGUAUGUAAACUUCGAAAGAAUGGGAAGACUAAAUGACGGUACCAUUUAUAAGCUCCGGCUAACUACGUGCCAGCAGCCGCCGUAAAAC
rnacentral:rRNA from 1 species